AUUAUUGUUAUUAUCAUGUCAUCAUCCUAUUGAAAAAAAAAAAAACAUGAAUAUUUAAAACAAAACAUGAACGUGGGAGAAAUUUUGGUACUUUGGAAAAUAUGCGAUAAUGGAACCUGAGGCCCAUUGCCAUUGUUAAUUUGCGCAAGCAGUGAUUCAAUAAACUUGUAUCAUAACAGACAAACGUCUCUGGUAAUUGAUACUCUCUUUUGCUAUGCCCGGAUGAUUGUCAUCCACGUCGUAAAAGCAAAAGAACGCGAACAAGAUCGACGACUUUAAUUGUCGCAAUGACACACAGAUUUAUCGUGUAAGCAAAUCGAGAAUACACAGAAUGGUACUUUCCAUUAUUCUUACACAUAUGAUAUGUAGGCAUACACGUAUAUACACUUCUUACGUAUAUACACGUAUAUACAUUUCUUUCCAAAGCACGGGUGAAAAUCGCAACGUAACCGAAUGAUGAUUUACGUCGUACUUUUACGUCGUAACGUGCAGAGAGUUGCUAAUCACAUUCAUUAAAGUAAAUGUUUUUCUCGCACGUAUACGGCGCACGUAUUUACAAAUCGACGAAUCAAGAACUUCGCAGUUGCCGAUCUGCGUAGUUCUCGAAGCUGAUAUUAAGGUGAUAUUUUGCAAUGAACGUCGUCAUGUUGUCGGCAAGUAAAUAAAUGCCGCAAUUAAAAAUGCUUACGGUAGCAACGUAAUUUUCUCGGUUGAGAAAACAACCGAGGAGAGACGACUUCCGGAGAAUUACAAGGAAUUUACAUCGCUAACACGAUUGUUAAGAAGACGUCUCAGGAAACGGUCUCGAAAGAGGGAACGUUUUUUCCUCGCUGGUUAAAACUGAAUCAGUCGACGAGGAUCGGCACGGCAAAAUUGAAAGUAAAUCGGCGGUGCAUCCUUCCACCGCGUGAGCAUGAACAUGAUGUCGCUAUUUGCGCGAUUGUGCUGUUGCGUCACACAUCGAGUGAGACUGCGUCUCUAUUACCGGUGUCAACGUCAUUCGAGUCAGCGAAUAAGUAUCAGGCGAAAUGUGAUCGCGAAAGAUAGUUCCAAUGAAUAGCCAUAAUAUCGACUGCGAGCAUAAUCAGUGAGCGACGAUAUUUUUAUUUAAUGAUAGUUUUUCCAAAUCGUGGGAAGAGCUCAAAUCAGAAAAAAAAACGCAGCAUCGUGAAAAGAGAUCUAAAAUCCGGGCAUUAUCGGCACCACGCAGCAAACGAUAAAAGGCGCGGCCGAUAACCCAAACAAGAAUAGAAUUUUACUCGUAACGCUGUGGAGCAAUGACAUAACGAAGAAAAAACGGAGAAGAACGGAGAAGAAGAACAGACAAGAAAAAAGAAAUGUAUACAUCAUGAUAAAUAUUCAAGCGAUUAAGACGCAGCAAAGUUCGGCCGCCCUGUUUCCACACGGCAAUAAAGACAUUAUCUAUCGAUUCACGUCGUUCGUAUAAGCGCCUUGCAUUGUAAAAUAAUCCGGCAUUUUCUGGGUCAUUAACCGCAGUAUCGAUCGCUUUGGUAUCUCGUCUCGAGGAAACACCAUGCAAAGCGAGCACUCGUCGACUUUUUACUACUCAUUUUUAGCCUAAAACGAAAGAAUAGAAAUAUCCCGUUAUUAAAAUACAAAUCCCGUUAUUAAAAAAAAUUUAUUUAUGAA
rnacentral:lncRNA from 1 species